UACGUAGGGUGCAAGCGUUGUCCGGAAUUAUUGGGCGUAAAGAGCUCGUAGGCGGUUUGUCGCGUCUGCUGUGAAAACUCAGGGCUUAACUCUGAGCUUGCAGUGGGUACGGGCAGACUAGAGUGCGGUAGGGGAGACUGGAAUUCCUGGUGUAGCGGUGAAAUGCGCAGAUAUCAGGAGGAACACCAAUAGCGAAGGCAGCUCGCUGGGACGUUACUGACACUGAGGCGCGAAAGCGUGGGGAGCGAACAGG
rnacentral:rRNA from 1 species